AGGCCAUAGUGACGUCACCAUGUACACACAGUCGGUCUGUCUGGCUGUGGUAGUUUGUCUUGUGUCUUCAGGUAAUUUGGCUGUUAACGACGACCAUCAUCACGACCAUAUACUGUGUCGUAAGUGUGGAACGGAGUUGACGGAAAACACUCGGGACAACUUCGUCAACGUCACGAGCCCACUGUCCGAGUCCACCUACCAGCUGACUGUCCUCGGACAUUCUCACUUGAUGGUACAGACUCUCAGAAACCCAGCCGAUGUUACAUUCAAUCUGGUCGCGGUGAAAAGAUCCGGCUGCUCUGGGGUUGGUGAGUGGCACAGUGAACACACGUGGUUUCCCAGCUACCAGUGGAAGGUUUGCCUGUGUCCGCGCUGUGAGGCUCACUUAGGCUGGUAAGGACCUCGCAUGUCAACAACUUUUCUUUGGUGAUUUUUGAGCCCAAAGAAAAAGCAAGUGUGAGCCAUUUCAGAGCUUCAUCUGAGGGCUUCUAUGGGCUAAUUCUUGAGAAACUGAUAACAGAGAGAUUUUCAGAUUCACUGCUUGUCGGAGUACCAAAGUUUCAUAAAUAUUAACGUCAUGGCUGGUGACCAUCAGGACAAUGCCUCUCUGGACGACAUGGUUGAACUGGAUACUAACUACCUCACUCAGUUGGAGGAGGAAGCUGCCGACCGCUACACUGAACAUGACAAGGAGUUCAUGGAGCACUGUCGUAAACCAACACCGCUGCCGCCAAUCCUGCCAGCAGAGAGCGGCGACCGCAACAGACACCGUGGAGGUUUCCGAGGCAGAAGUCGAAGCAGUUACCAUAACGACCGGCAGGGAGGCUACGACCAUGACAACAGACAAGGCUCUAGGGACAACAGCAGAGACUAUGGAGGAGGAGAUAGAAGAAGGGAAUAUGGUGGGGGUCACAGGGACUAUGAGGGAGAGAGGAGAAACUACAACAAUGACAGGAGAAAUUUUGAAGGUGACAAGAGGGAAUAUGGUGGCAAUAAGAAGAAUUAUGAUGGUGAAAGGAAAGGUUUUGGUGAUGGUGGGUUUGGUGGUGAGAGGAGAGGUUUUGGUGGUGAUAGGAGAGGUUUUGGUGGUGAUAGGAGAGGUUUUGGUGGUGAUAGGAGAGGUUUUGGUGGUGAUAGGAGAGGUUUUGGUGGUGAUAGGAGAGGUUUUGGUGGUGAUAGGAGAGGUUUUGGUAGUGAUAGGAGAGGUUUUGGGGGUGGCGACAGGCGAGAUUUUGG